GAGAGAGAGAGAGAGAGAGAGAGUAAUUGAAAGACAGUGAUUUAUGUAUUUAACUUGACAGCUUGAAUUGGCAUCAUACAUUGUUGAAUGACCCUCCACGUCCGGUCAUUCAAAAACAGAACAGCAAAUUGUUGCAUAUUCCAGAUGGGAAGGAGUUGAGUUUGAAUCCGAUACCUUCAUCCAAUUUCACCAGGAUGAGCUGCACUUCCUUGCCAUACACAAGACUCACCUUGCAGUAUAUGAAACCAAAGAACUAGCAUGCGCUCAGAAGUGGGUUCCAAGUUUUUCUGCAGAUAUUUCUCAUGCAACAUACUCAGGUGAUAGCCUGACGGUACAUGCCAGCUUUUUUUAUGGAACUAUAGCCAUACUUGGUGCUUCAACUGUUGAACUACGUUGUCAAAUCAAUCCCUCCGAUCACCUUCCUGCUGAUAUAAGGUAAUACCGGUUGCAUCAUUUGAUGAAUAAAACUCGGUGAACUUUGACGACACUUGACCCCAAAUUCGAGCGUUUUUGUAGAAUGUCGCAUAAUCUCCCUUCCGAUUUUAGUUAAAAUUUGAGAUUUCCGUUCAAAAGUUGCACAUUAAAUCAUUUCAUGGGUAUUUUUGUUAUG